rfam:Equus caballus chromosome 13, whole genome shotgun sequence.
GGGGGCCGGGUGGGGUGCUGGCCCUGCUUCCGUGGGUUUCAGGUCUCGUUGGUGCUGGUGCUCACGUGGGCCACGUCACCCUCCCUUCACCCUU